UACGUAGGGUGCGAGCGUUGUUCGGAAUUACUGGGCGUAAAGGGCUCGUAGGCGGCCAACUAAGUCAGACGUGAAAUCCCUCGGUUUAACCGGGGAACUGCGUCUGAUACUGGAUGGCUUGAGUUUGGGAGAGGGAUGCGGAAUUCCAGGUGUAGCGGUGAAAUGCGUAGAUAUCUGGAGGAACACCGGUGGCGAAGGCGGCAUCCUGGACUGGGCCUGACGCUCAGGAGCGAAAGCGUGGGGAGCGAUCCGG
rnacentral:rRNA from 1 species